rnacentral:rRNA from 1 species
GACGAACGCUGGCGGCGUGCCUAAUACAUGCAAGUAGAACGCACAGUUUAUACCGUAGCUUGCUACACCAUAGACUGUGAGUUGCGAACGGGUGAGUAACGCGUAUGUAACCUGCCUGGUAGCGGGGGAUAACUAUUGGAAACGAUAGCUAAUACCGCAUAAUAUUAAUUAUUGCAUGAUAAUUAAUUGAAAGGUGCAAUUGCACCACUACCAGAUGGACCUGCGUUGUAUUAGCUAGUAGGGGAGGUAACGGCCCACCUAGGCGACGAUACAUAGCCGACCUGAGAAGGAGGUCGGCCAAACUGGGACUGAGACACGGCCCAGACUCCUACGGGAGGCAGCAGUAGGGAAACUUCGGCAAUGGACGAAAAGCUGACCGAGGAAAGCCGCGGGGGGGGAGAAGGGUUUCGGAUCGGAAAGCUCUGUUGUAAGGGAAGAAAGGGUGUGAGAGUGGAAAGUUCACACUGUGACGGUAUCUUACCAGAAAGGGACGGCUAACUACGUG